AACGAACGCUGGCGGCGUGGAUAAGACAUGCAAGUCGAACGGGAUUCCUUUCGGUAGCAAUACUGAGAGGGAUUUAGUGGCGAACGGGUGCGUAACACGUGGGGAAUCUGCCGAGAAGUGGGGGAUAGCUCGUCGAAAGGCGAAUUAAUACCGCAUAUGAUCAGGGAAGACAUCUUUCCAACAUCAAAGCCGGGGCAACCUGGCGCUUCUUGAUGACCCCGCGGCCUANCAGCUAGUUGGUGAGGUAACGGCCCACCAAGGCUAUGACGGGUAGCUGGUCUGAGAGGACGACCAGUCACACUGGAACUGAGACACGGUCCAGACACCUACGGGUGGCAGCAGUCGAGAAUUUUUCUCAAUGGGGGAAACCCUGAAGGAGCGACGCCGCGUGGAGGAUGAAGGCUUUCGGGUCGUAAACUCUGUCAUUUGAGAACAAGUGUAGCUAAGUAACUACUGGCUACUUGAUAGUAUCAGAAGAGGAAGGGAC
rnacentral:rRNA from 1 species